AGUUUCCUUGAAGUUUUUAAAAUUUUCGAUCGUCUGACAAAGCAAAUCUACUUCGCUACUCUUGGAAUUCAGAGCCAUCUCUGCAAAAUCAAUUGAAGAUGCCAACCAAAACUUCAACAUCGAUUCAUCAAGUGAUUCUGUAAAUUUUCUUGUUUAUUGAAAUCAAUUCUACAUCUAUGGUCUGGGGGAUGGAAUUUUCGGGUUCUCAUCCAGCGGCAAAGCAGACAGCUUGUUAAGUAAAUUGAAUUUGGGCAAAGGAGGGAAAGGAGAUAAGACUGGCAGUGCUGCCAAAAGUUCCGCUCCCAAAGAACUGCCUCCUCUGGAGCUCAGAGUUGAGCAGGAACUCCCAAAACAUGCCAAAUAUGGUGUCACUGAGGGCGAGAUAUGUGUCAUUGGGAAUGUCUGUCCAGAAACUCCAGAUGAAGUUUUUGCUCUUGUUCCAUCCUUGAAGUCUAAGAAGAGCAAGCUCGCUGAGCCUCUCAAAGAUGUUUUGGCUGAACUAGUUAAGCUCAGAAAGGCAACGUGACACCCAGCAGAGAUCUGCAGUAAGAUACUGCAGUUGCUGAUCGACUGACAUGGCUUCUUCUCCGCUCUUGCUUUUCCUUGGUGCUGAUUACCGACUGGUCUUUAAUGUUAACUGCAGGUUUUUUUGUUUAUAAUAUUUACUGUAUUUCUGCUCUCGGAAUUCAGGGUAGAGUUGUUCGGUGGGUUAGAUUGUGUGUAUAGCUUCACCUAGCAGAAAAUGAAGCAGUAUCCUCAGGACUUUCCUGCAUCGUUUUGUCACUUGUUGGAUUCAGUUUUGUACUUGAAUCUAGAGAUGUAAGGUUUAUUCUUAAGGAAAGUGUUACUAAUACUUUUGAA